AUGGAUUGCAACAACAGGAGCGUGUCGCUCCUGGGAAUUUUUGUUGCUUUGGUCUGGGUUGGGUACAAAUAUUACAGGGUCCAAACCGGACUAGGACUCGUGGUUAAUUCCAACAUACCGGUGGUGGCCUCGGAGUCGGAGUGCCAGAAGCUGGCAGAGGGCGACAAGGCGGAGGCCGGCAAGGGGAAGAAGAUCGUCAGGGUGAGCCAGAAGUACAUCGACAUCGUGCUGAGGGAGAAAUCCACCGGCACGGGCAUGUACAGGAAGAACAGGGCCAUGGAGAUCGUUGAGAACUACAAGAGUCCCCUUGAUCUCCGGUCGCUCGUGGCAAUCAGCAAUGGUAUUAGGGAGAAGAUCCACGCCGACGACGCGGCGAUCCUCGAGCAGUACCACCGCCUCGGCUACGCCUACGCCGAGGUCGAGGAGGAGGAGUCCUCCAUCUACAAUGAGAAGGUCUGCGCCCCGCUCGCCGGGUCAAGGCAGCAGCAAGGACGCGCAGGCAAGGAGACCACCGGUCCGAAUCCUCUUCAUCCACUUUGGGUGAGGGAGGACCAGCAGGUCCUCGGCUACCUGCUCCAGAACCUCUCCAAGGAGGUGCUCGUCACGGUGACCACGAUCACCACGGCGCGCGAGCUCUGGGUGGCACUGGCGAGCAUGUUCUUGUCACAAUCACUCAGCCGCGUCAACAACAUCCGUACGGCGCUGAUCAAUGCGCAGAAGGGAAAUCAAUCGGUGGCCUCCUUCUUCGCCGCCAUGAGAGGUCUCGCCGAUGAACUAGCUGCGGCGGGCAAACCCAUCCAAGAUGAUGAACUCAUGUCCUACAUCAUCCACGGGCUGGACCAAGACUAUCAGCCGCUUGUCUCUGCACUGGAUGCACGCGCCACCCCGGUAACCCUUGAUGAACUCUUUGCUAUGCUCAGUAACUUUGAUCAACGCAUGGCGCAGUACCAAGGCUCCGGUGGUGGCUUCAAGUCGUUGGCCAACUCUGCGUACAGAGGCCGCGGCGGUGGCUCCCGCUCACGCUCAUCUCCCCGUGGCAAAGGGAGGUUCAGCUCCGGUGGUGGCGGCUACUCCAACAAUUGGCGCGGCGGCGGGCGCUCGGGAAACUCCAAAGGGCAAAACAGUGAUGCAAAAACUACAGCAAAUGGUGAAGAAAAUGGACCAACAGGUCCUUAUUUCAUGUGUCCCAGUGCAGGGGACAGAUCCUCCUCGGGAUCGGAGGAAGCGAUGCAGCCGCGCAGUCGAUCUUCCCUGGGAUCCGCGCCUGGCAGCGAAUCUGCCACGCCAGUCCGGACAGACAACACAGGCGGGCGUGCAGGCGAGCCCACGUCAGCCACGCGGCAGAGCCCGGCGGGCCGCACCGCCUCCUCUCGCGCGCCCGAACCAUCGCCCGACAGGUGGCAGGCCGCCUCUGGUCUGGGCUGGGCCUAG
rnacentral:rRNA from 1 species